rnacentral:rRNA from 1 species
GACGAACGCUGGCGGCGUGCUUAACACAUGCAAGUCGAACGGAAAGGCCCUGCUUUUGUGGGGUGCUCGAGUGGCGAACGGGUGAGUAACACGUGAGUAACCUGCCCUUGACUUUGGGAUAACUUCAGGAAACUGGGGCUAAUACCGUAUAGGAGCUCCUGCUGCAUGGUGGGGGUUGGAAAGUUUCGGCGGUUGGGGAUGGACUCGCGGCUUAUCAGCUUGUUGGUGGGGUAGUGGCUUACCAAGGCUUUGACGGGUAGCCGGCCUGAGAGGGUGACCGGCCACAUUGGGACUGAGAUACGGCCCAGACUGCUACGGGAGGCAGCAGGGGGGAAUAUUGCACAAUGGGCGGAAGCGUGAGGCAGAAACGCCGCGUGCGGGAUGACGGCCUUCGGGUUGUAAACCGCUUUCGCCUGUGACGAAGCGUGAGUGACGGUAAUGGGUAAAGAAGCACCGGCUAACUACGUG